ACUCCUCUUUGGCAUUUUUGUGGCGAACACCAAUUCUUUGCCUCAGAUCUUCAAACAUUUCCUUUAGCAAUGACUUGGUGAAAAUGUCAGCUAGCUGGUUCUCAAAUGAACAAUGAACAAGGUUUCAUGUAACCGGAUUCCACAUAGCUCAUGUGCUCUUUGCCGUAUGAGUCAAGAUGUUCCCAAAAGGUUCCGAUCAUUGAAGGGCUUUUUAGAUGACUGUAAAGAAGACUUGGAAUUCUUAAUCAUCCAUGAUAGGUUCUCAGCAUCCAUAUCACGCAGAUAUUGAUUAUCGAUCUCCAGAUUUGCAGAUUCAUUGAUCAUGCCUCCUCGUAGAGAUAACGCUAGGAAUGCGAAUGCAAGGAUUGAAAAUGCAGCUCCUCCUGUCCAAGAUCAAAAAGUCUCCAAUGCUGAGUUCAGGAAUGCCAUACAGAUGUUGGCUUAGAGUAUUACCAAUCAGAACAAUUGGGUUUCAUGCUCCUGUGAAUAAAAAUGGUGGAUCAGCAGCAGCAAGGGUCUGUGACUUUGUUUGGAUGAAUCCGCCUGAGUUAUUAGUGUGUUAUUCAUUUUCGGAAAAAAAUUAUUUUUUUCGGGUUUUCGAAUUUUCGAGAGUCGCCACUUAAUAUUUUAGAAAAAGUAAAGAAAACUAUGUUAUCAAAAGAUGUCCGCUUACUUGCGG